rnacentral:misc_RNA from 1 species
GUGAGGCACGGAGCCCUUCGCCCACCGUCCGCGUCAACACCGCGCGCUUAGGGACAGUCUCGUGUUGAGUCGUUCCACCAGAUAGGCUUAGCAGCGGCUCGUCCCGUCAUGAUUGUUGAUGAUUGUUAACUAAUUGUGUGUUAAAAGAACGGGUUAAUAGAGGUUAUAAACUUAGAAUUUAUCAAGUUAUUAUAUUCGCUGAAGUGUGUAUCUUCCAAGAGGAUUUAAUACACGUUAGUGUUAGUGUCAAAGGAACUUUUUGCGUGAGGUGCAAAUUCAGAAACACAGCAUAAAUAAUCAGUCGCAAAUCAGGCUUUGUUUGUCAUUGAUAAAAGAAGGAUUGUCAUGAAUAUUAUAAGAACAAAAAUGACUUAAGAAAACGGUGAGAAAAUCGUUUCAUCCGUUUAAUUCUGGUAAUCUGCAGCGACUCAGAGUCUUGCUUAUUAAGGCGUCAAGAGGAACAUGAGAGGCGGCUCAAGGGUACUUUUACCUCAGCCAGAGAACUCUUGUUAAGGAAGUAUGGAGACAAUUAAUGGAAGUCCUCACACUGCUCCAACCUGCCAUGGCAAGCAGAAGGUGUUAAGACAUUCUGCAACGCGCUUAAAGGUGAAAUUUGUGAGGCAUUAUCAGAAGGAAGAUCUUAUCUAACAUUUCUGCUCAAGAGUGUAAGUACUGCAUCAAAUAUCCCUGAAGUUUAUGGGUGACGCAUCUAACAGCUAUGAAGUUUAUGAAUGACGCAUCUAACAACCCUGAAGUUUAUGAGUGACGCAUCUAAUAGGCCUGAAGUUUAUGAGUGACGCAUCUAAUAGGCCUGAAGUUUAUGAGUGACGCAUCUAAUAGGCCUGAAGUUUAUGAGUGACGCAACUAACAGCUCAGAUAUUCUUAGGAAACGCCAAACAAAAUAAAACAAAGUUGUUCAGAAUCCCCGUCAGUUAUGUUCGUAAUAUGAAAUUGUUUGUUUAUUUAAUGAUCACAGAUGACGAUUGGUAAACAAAGGAGGAUAGUUUUAUUGUCGUUAAAAACACAUUGAUAAUUAUUUGAUAAGGUAUACCGCAUAAAUAUAUAGAUGAUUAUUAUAUAUAGAUAUAUAAUUUUGAAUAAAGUUACCUAAAUUAUGUCGUCAUUAAAGAGUCCAGAGACAAGUCCUAUUAUAAGAUACUUGGUACAGGUAGUGUAGUGGGGCAGAGAUGGCGAGUCAUUGAGCUGGUGUUGUGGUGUGUCGUGACUAACACACAUACACAGUUGCCUUAAGAUGAACUCUUGGAUGUCUCAGCACAGCCUGGAGAGAUCAGCCAGGCUGCGACGGACUACUAUUUCAUGGGCGUGGGUAUGGGCCUUCUUGUGGGCGUGGGUAGUGUGUGGAGCAACUGGCACGUGUCCCAAGGUGUGUGAGUGUAAGUGGCGUGACGGCAAGGAGACAGUGUCGUGUCCAGAUUCUGAGUUCAUCGACAUCCCGCGAGGACUUGAUCCUUCCACUCAAGUGCUGGACCUGAAGCACAACAACCUAAAGAUCCUACCUCGUGACGCCUUUGUCGACACAGGUCUGGUGAAUUUGCAGAAAGUCUGGUUAAAUCACUGCAACUUGAAACACUUGGAAGGUGGCGCCUUUAACAUGCUCGCCAACCUAGUGGAGUUGGAUCUGAGCCACAACUUGCUGCGACUGGUGCCCUCAGAGGCGCUGAGUGAUGUGCCUGGCUUACGGGAGCUCUGUCUCGCUUACAACAAUCUUAACUCCCUCGCCGAGGCAACCUUCACCCCCACGCCAGACCUGGUGCGUCUCGACCUCUCUCAUAACGAUAUUGAAGUGGUUCACAAGCGAGCUUUCCGAGGACUGACCCGCCUCGAAGUGCUUAAAUUGUCGAUUAAUAAACUUAAGACAUUAAACGCAGAGAUGGUUAUCCCCCUGGUGGCUAUCCACGAGCUACACCUGGACGGUAACCCCUGGCACUGUGACUGUCAACUGCGUCCUCUGCGUCAAUGGAUGAUGGAACGCAACGUUGCCUUCUCGGAGCCGCCCACCUGUGUGUUUCCUGAACGGCUUAAAAGUCGCUCUUGGCAGACACUGAUGCUUGACGAAUUCGUGUGUGUUCCUAAAGUGACGGCAGUGGCCCCAAGAGUUCUGGCGGCCCAUGGCGAGAACGUGUCCCUGUCUUGUCGAGUCGAAACUGACGUUGACGCCGCCGUCACCUGGCUGGUGGGCGACCGUCCCCUGCGUAAUGGGAGUGAGUCUCAGCGGUACCGAGUACUGGAACUGGUGGCUCCCAACCACGAGACACGCUUGUCCAACUUGACCAUCUGGGGGGCGGCCCCUCAGGACCAGGGAACUUACCGCUGCGUGGCUCACAACAAGGCUGGCACGGUAGAGACCAACCUCACACUCCAGGUGUCUAACGAGAUAGCCGAGGUGCGUCUGGUGACCAUGGACCGAGUGUUCGUGACUGGCGGACUCCUAAGUGCAGUGGCCAUUAUCUGCGUCGUUUUACUACUAUUUGCGGCCAUUAUAUUCCGCAGAAGACAGCGGAUGCGGCGGCGGCGAGGUCAGGACAACGAGCACAAAAACGAGACGCCACAAUCAUCGCAGGCGCGUGGCAGCACCUCCAGCGACUCCCAUCCCAAGUUGGCAGAAUAUCAUAUUGUGCCGACAAACGAUCUGGACGAACCGUCGCCACUACCAACUCACUCCGACAAAUCAUGGAUGCUGAGAGACGCUUCCGUUGAUGACUUCCCAUCAACCAAAGAAUUAGAAAAGCCUAAUGUCUACACAGAGAAGGAACAAAGAAGACAGACAAAGCCUGGACAAGCCAGCAGUGGCAAGACGAGUUCCCCGAGCACCGUCUCUUACGUAGAGAUCCCCAAGUCAGAGAUGGCGGCCGCCCCUCACCAGCCCAUCGAGGACAGAUUGAGAUGGAAAGAUCACAGCUACGACAGCAAAGAUAAUCUGCUGCGGCAGGCGUGUAGUCAGGCGGGCUCUCAGCUGUCCAUGGGAAGCGGGAGACACUACCCUGACCUGCUAGACUUGCCUUACCCUCAACAGACACAGCAGCAGCAGCAGUCACAGCAGCUUCACCACCAGCAACAGCAGCAGCCUCGACCGCCGCUACAGCUACUAAACCCUGCUUACUGCACCAUGCCCAGGAGCUCUGGCAGUGUGGGUGCUGGUGAGGGGUCAGGAUCCAAGCAGCCACCCUCAGCCACGGGAGAGGACGGCCCCUACCAGGAGACUUCCUUCUCCCGCCGCUACAGGUGCGGGAGCUGGGUGAACCUGACGGAGAGUGAAGCGUCCUCCACCUCUUACCCUCACCCACCCAUCCGUCACCAGCUCUCUCUGCCAGACACUUCACCCAUCCUCAACCUUCGUCACCACACCCUCAACGACCUUAUGGCCGUCCACAGAGGAGAGUUAGGAGGUGACGCAGGGGCCGUAGGUGGAGGUGACUUGGAGUCUGCGGAUCCCUGCAACUUGGAGUACCAUGCGGCCCAGUUGGAAAAAUUCCUUCUGGAGUACCGCAGUCUACAAGAACAGCUCUAUCGCAUGAAGGAGUCUUAUGAAGCCAGCCACAGACCUGACGGGAGUGACAGCCUUCAUGAUGUGAGCAACGGUGAGGCUGAGGACGACAAUGUUCCUCCACCUUGCCCUGAGGCUCCCACCUCCUCUCCGUACACCCAGACUCCCACCACCACUGAUCCUACGGGUACUGGCUCUCAGGAGGAACCUCUCGAGUCAACAGAACCUCUUAGAUCUAUCCUGAAGAAGCGAUAUGAGGAGGGCACUCGUGGUCUGCCUGGCCUCCAAGGUCUUCUAGGACUGCAGAGUCUCCAAGGCCUAAAAGGUCUCCAAAGUCUCCAAGGGCUUCAAGGGCUUCAGGGACUACAAGGACUCAAGGAGCUCCAAAACCUUCAAGGACAGUAUUCCAAAAGUGCCUACUACGGCGAGGACUCGGAACGCCUCCGUCCCCCCUUUAGUCUGCCUCACCACAAGUUCCCUGAUCAUGAAUCCUGAGACCCACUGAGGGAGGUACACAGACAAGAGGUGGAGCGAGGUGAGGGGGCUGGAGUAGGGGUGGAGUGAAUGAUUUAAUUGAAAAUGGAGCAGGAAUGAAGCUGAAAUUGGAAAUGGAGUGGCAGCUGAAAAGUGAACUAAAAUGGACAUCGGAAAACCAGAUGGAGUGGAAGACAUGCUAUGGGAGUUUAAAGUGGAACAAGGUUACCUAAGUCACACGUGGAGUGAGGCUACUGGAGUAACACGUGUAGUGAGGCUACUGGAGUAAAACGUGGAGUGAGACUACUGGAAUAACACGUGGAGUGAGACUACUGGAGUAACACGUGUAGCGAGGCAACUGAAGUAACACGUGUAGUGAGACUAUCGGAGUAACACGUGGAGUGAGGCUACUGGAGUAACACGUGGAUGAGGCUACUGGAGUAACACGUGGAUGAGGCUACUGGAGUAACACGUGGAUGAGGCUACUGGAGUAACACACGGAACAAUGCUGCUGGACAUCACGACUAAGCGACAACAUGUGAAGGCGCGCGGGGGAGGUCGGUGGGAGAGGCUCCAUUCUGGUGGUACUUUGCAAUAACACAACUCCCACGAACUCCACUUCCCGAUUCUCCAACAACCAACAAUACUCUCGUCUUAUCUACUGUUACACGUAUUUUUUUUGUGAUUCAUUCUCUUCACAAUAUACUAAGUCAAUGUUUUUUGCAAUAAAUCUUAUUUUUGUCCUGAGUGAUGACGUCACUGAGAGGCAUGAAGGACGUAAACAGCUGAUGGUUAGGGUUCAGAAGCUUUACUGGGUGUAAACCUUGUGUUCCCAAACCUUUUUGUCGGCAACCGGGAGCUUCGUUUAUGACCUCUCUCUCUCUCUCUCUCUUAGUUGGGGGGAAGUUGUUUAGUAUAAAACUCAGAUAAAAGUUUAUUCCCUUCAGUAUCUAAACAAUUAAAAUUGACGAAAUAGUUCACUCCGGAUAAAUUUACGGAUGUGUGAGGUUGUGUCAGUGUAGAUGGAGAGGUGGGUGUAGGGUGUGGAGAGGUGGGAAGGAAGAGCCAUGAGCGACAGAACUCAACUUCACAGGCUGUGGUCACCAACUUCCUGGUCUCCCAGUAGGCCAGUUUGUCAGACACAGUUUUCCAUCUUAACUGAGAGCAGGAAGAAAACUGCAUUAUUCUAUCUUAUCCAAGGGCAGAGUAAUUACUUAAGGUUCCAUAUUUAAUGGCAGAGAGGCAGCGAGUUUCAUUUUACACUUAGGGCAAUGAGAAGCUACAAUGUCCGACCUUACACUAGGACAGGGAAAGGACGAUUGUUGGUUUCCACUUAAAGGUAAAAGAGAACAAUAAUACUCUAUCAUACCCAAGGAGUAAGAGCCCCAUUUUGAAUAGCUAGGAAGACGAAAAAUAUACUCCAUCUUACCAGAUAUUACGGAGGCUGCCACAACAUCGUCUUUUACCAAGGUCCGGAAGCCUGUAAAUGCUUUCCAACUUAUUAAAAGGUAAAAGAUACAGGCUGAUUGUUCCAGUUUACCCAAGAUAAGAGAAGCACAAGAGACAUUACAAUUUACCUGAGGGUAGAAACACAACAAGACCAUCAUACCAUUUUGCACAAGGAUAAGGAAGGCAGAAAUUGUGUUUCACCUUACCCGAGGACAACCACAGAGACACAGUGUUCCAUCUUUCUCACUACCAGGAAGACAGCUGUCGUUCUCCUUGAUACAUUUCCUUUUUAUUGAUACACACUUGUGGAGAUUUUGUGUUGAGGAUCUUUACGAUUUUUAAGCUGUUGCAUCUCAUAAUAUUUAUACACGUCACGUUUCACAAUUCACGCACCUACAGUUAAGCUUUACUACCAGGACAUUAACGUUGAUACACUGUAUUUUUGUCCUACAAUGAGGUGUUGUUUUCCUCGGUGCAUGCGAGUCUGCGCGCGCGUGUGUGUGUGUGACGCAUGUAACAGGUCACCGAGGUAAAAUGCUCAUUAGUAACAGAAAGUCUGGUUAAUUUUCCCAUUUCAUCUCACUUGUGUCUUCCCGAGACACCUGGCAGGUAAAUGAGGUGAAUUACUCAUUUGCAACAGGAUAUUGUGUUUUUCCCUCCGGUGGUCUCACCUGUGGGGCUCCCUGCCUCGCCCACCAUACAGCCCAAGUCUUGUUCUCGGCGUUUCUGGUUCUAUGUAUUGUAAAUGUUUUUUCGAAACAGCUAUACAUAUGUUAAGAAUGAAUAUACAUAUACUUGAUAGUUUUCUAUAACACAGUCGUAUUUUUGUACAAAUAAAA